ACCCGGGUAGUUUAAUUAGAAUAUAACGUUGAAAGCGUUGGGGUGUUUCCUUGGGUG
rnacentral:tRNA from 1 species